GCUGCCCUGGCUGGUGUUUCAUGUCCACCAGCUCUGCGUUCAGCACAGCACUCGGACUUGCCUAGGAAUUGUAAGAUUUCUUUUCAAAUUUAUUGAGGACCCCAAAGCACUUCAGCCUGUGAUGGCAAGACUUGCCAAAACUCGAGUUCUGACCCUCUGGCUAGGGCUGGUCUAGAUGCUUCCUCCAUGGGUGGGUGUCAGCUGAUUUUAGCUGGGUUUUGCUUUCUGCUGUGACAGGGCAGCACUUAGUUGAAUGCAAAGUCCCAGAGUUGCUGUGCUGUCCCUCCCCCAAGGACACAGAUUCUGUCUAUAUACCAUGUGGUCACUGCCAGGGCAUAGAGGAAGUGUGCCAUCUGUAAUUCAAGACUGUCUUUCCUGCCCUCCUCAGUGCCUCCUUCACUGAUAUGAAGUUAAAACAAGUGUGCCAAAUAAGUCAUUAACAGGGAAGAAUGGUGAACCCUUGUGUAACAUCAUAUUACAUGAGACAAAUCAGCCACCUGGGAAUAAGUGAACCCAUUUCAUUAUGCUCUCCCUUGCCUGCCACCAUGUAAGACGUGCCUCUUCUCCUCCGACCAUAAUUGUAAGCUUCCUGAGGCUGCCUCAGCCAUGCAGAACUAACCACAGUUUCCUAUUAGACAAGAAGUGACAGGUUACCGUAAUCCAGCUGACUCUAUCCCAUCCUGGCUUUGAUGAAGUAAGCUGCUGUGAUGCAAACUGCUCUCUGGAGAGGUGACAAACCUAAGGCAGGCUUUGGACAAUACCUAGGAAGAAACUGAGACCCUCAGUCCUACAACCUGCAAAGAACCAAAUUCUGCCAACAACCAAACAACCAUAUGAGCUUGAAAGCAGAUUCUUCCUGAGCUGAGCCUUGACAGAAGAAUACAUCUCAUACCUAAGUCUUGAUUGCAGCCAGAUGAGAGACUCUGAAGCAGAGGAUUCAGCUACUCUGUGCCCAGACUCCUGACUCACAGAAACUGUGAGCUAACAAUGUAUGGUAUUUUAAGCCACCAAGUUUGCGGUAAUUUGUUAUGAGCAGUAGAUAACUAACAUGCUGCUACAAUAAUUUCGAUACUUUUCAUUAAUUUAUGUCUUUGAGAAUCAGUCUACAGACAGAAUACAAAGAAGAAUGGAUAUGAAAAUGCAACAGUAUUUUAAGUCUUUUCAAACUCAGCGUCGUGAAAGUAAGAAAUUGGGGUGUGGAGUGGAUGUGGGAAGUAGAGAAGAAAUGGUAGGUAAUAGUGCUUAUAGGUUCAUUUUAUAAUGUGAGGAGUCAGCUUUAUGUAACAAGGAAUAAAGGCGUAGAUCUAUUAUGUAAAUUUACAAAAGGAAAAAAGUGGGUGAAGUAAAAAUAUUAUGAAUAAAGAAGAUGGGAUACUUUGAGUGAACCAAAGUAGCAUUUCUCAGGGAAGGAAGUUAAUAGAAUGCUACAUGAUAAAGCAAUAUGGUAGAAACCUGUUAGUGAGAUAGCUGGAAGUAACUAGCAGUAGAAACAACGACUAGAGUUGAAAGUAGUUGCCUCUUGUCAUAAGAGAAUGAAGCAAUAGGGUGUUAAUUUUCAUUUUCCCUAUAAACUAGGUCAUUUGAAACCUUAUAUAUAUUUUACUUUAAAAAUUAUAAUGAAAAUAAAUACACAAAAUGUGAAUUAUAUUAUUUAAAUCAUAAAUUAGAAACAAAGAGUAUUUGUUAUUUAUUCCAAAAUAUCAAUUCUGGCUUUCUGGCUCACUGACAUUUUCAGGAUUCUCCCCUGCUUUCUAAAUAUUUUUUUGCCUUAUUUUUCAAUUUUGCUGAUGAUACAAAUAAUACAUGUUCACCUUAAAUAAUUUUAAAAAGUGUAAAGACAUUGUAACUAAUAUAUAAUAUCUGACAUUCUACCAUUGUGGAAUAAUUACCAUUGACAUUUUGGUGAAUAUUUUUUCUUGCUUCUAUUUCUGCACCCUUAAAACAUACUGCUAAGUCUAGUCUCGAACUCCUGGUUUUGACAUCUACCAGCCUUAUUUUUAAUCUCAUUUUCAUUAAUGGGAUUAUAUCAUAAUAUCACUUUUAAUAUUGGAUAGAAUACUCUUCCUCACUUCAUAUUUUCCAUCUCUGCUUGUAUAUUUAUUUUGCAUUUCUAAGAAAUUAUGCAUAUUAAUAGACAGUUGUGUGUUGAUUUCUCUAUUGUUUCAUGAUUGUAUAAUUGAGGUAAUGCAUGCAGAUAGUCGAUCUAAAUUUCUAUUACUGAAUAUAAAAAUUUAUUAGUGAAGCAAAUUAAAUACUAUAUUAAUAUAUAUCUACAUAUAAUUCCAUGUAAAGACAAUUUGUGGCUAAGAAGAAAUUAUUCUAUGCAUAUAUGUAAAUUAAUACACAGGUACACUCACAUACACACCAUCUCCUUGACCUGAAAGACAGCAGUCUCAACCAUCUGAAAGAUUGCAAUCAAUCAGGAGGGAGGCCAUUACGAUUAUCAUCUAUUCCAAUAAAUAUCAUAAAAUUUGUAUACUUUAUUUAGAUCCCAUUAAGUUUCAUUUUAUCUACAUUUAUUUUAGGCACAAUUCUAAUAAACUUGGUUAUAUGAUUUCAAGCAUAUUAAAAGCAAAAUCUUGAAGAUGGUUAUAAUAGAAUACUAUACCCACCAUAUACAACCUAUCAAUUAGCAUAGGAAUUUGACUCUAAUUAAUGUUAGGGCUUAUACUCCUGAAUGAUCUUUGAAAAUCUGAGAGCCCAUUAAAAAGAACUGAUGUUCAAAUGAUGAUCCCAUGUCAUCAAGGAAAGGUUACAUUAUCUUCAGCUUCUUUUGCUUAAAAAGAAAAUCAAUGAAAAGUUUAAAAUGAUUUCAGAAAAAUUUGAAUUCAAAGGACUGGCAUUUAACCAAAGUUCUUGUUGCUUUAAUUUAUAACUAUCUUGUCAUCACCAUCACCAGUAAAAGCAGCAGCCACAGCAGCAUCAUAAUUUUUAUGACCCUUUUAAAGCAUCUAUUUGCAAGGUAUGCUGGAAGCUACUUAACAUUUUAGCUGAAUUAAUCCAACAACAACCUUAGAAAGAUAUUGUUAUGCUUAUGUUCAGAUAAAAAACAGGUUAAAAAAAUGAUAAGAAAUGAUGGAGUUCACUUUGGGAUACACUGAGUUUGAGGUGCCAUAAAGAGACAUUCAGGAGAUUUCAAUAGGCAAGAAAGAAAGAAGGAAAGAAAGAAAGAGAAAGAAAGAAAGAAAGAAAGAAAGAAAGAAAAGAAAGAAAAGAGGUGACUUGCCUAAGUUCUAGGCUUCUGCAGUAAAUUUUUUUUUUAUUUUUUAAUUUCUAAUUUUUGUGGGUACAUAGUAGGUGUACAUAUUUAUGGGGUGUAUGAGAUGUUUUGAUACAGGCAUGCAAUGUAAAAUAAUAAACUUAUGGAAAAUGGAGUAACCAUCCCCUCAAGCACAUAUCCUUUGUGUAACAAACAAUCCAAUUAUACUCUGUUAUUUUAAAAUGUACAAUUACGUUUUAUUGAUUAUAGUCACCUUGUUGUGCUAUCAGACACUAGGCCUUAUUCAUUCAUUCUAACUAUUUUUUGUACCCAUUAUCCCUCCCCAACUCCCCUUCACUACCUUUCCCAGUCAUUGGUAACCAUCUUUCUACUCCCUAUCUCCAUAGGUUCAAUUGUUUUGAUUUUUAGAUCCCACAAAUAAAUGAAACCAUGUGAUGUUUGUCUUUGUGCCUGGAUUAUUUCACUUAACAUAAUAAACUCCAGUUUCAUCUGUGUUGUUGCAAAUACAUGGAUCUCAUUCUUGUUUAUGGCUGAAUAGUACUCCAUUGUGUGUAAGCACCACAUUUCCUUUAUCCUGCAGUUAAUUUGAAUGUAUGUUUACUUUCUGAGCCUAUGCUUGCUCCUCUGUUCACUCUUUAGUUUCCUUCAUAUCUAUGGAUUCAAUGAACAUAUUUAUUCAGAGAACAUACACAUUUAUAUUUCUAUUAAAGACUGCUCCUCUAAACUCUAGAUUCAUAUGUCUGAUGCCUAUUGAAAUCUCCUGAAUGUCUCUUUAUGGCACCUCAAACUCAGUGUAUCCCAAAGUGAACUCCGUUAACGCCUGGUUCGCUCCCAGUGUCACUUAUCUCAGUGACUAGCAUCACCAUCCAUCCUGUUACACAAAGCAGGAGAUCAGGAGUCAGUCUGGACAGUCCUGACAAUCCCCCAUUCCUCAGAUUUCUUAUCCAACCCACCACCAAGUUACAUCAAAUAGUACCUUCUUAACAUAUCUUCUUCGUCUUCACCACCACCACCUCCCACAGUCUAAGCUGCCAUAAUCAAUUCCUUGCUCAACUAUAAUUGCCUAUUCACGGGUAUACCUUUUCCUAUUCUAGUCUCCUUGAGGCUUAAGAUUUUACUAGAGUGAUCUUUUCUUAAAACGUUUUUAAUCAUGUCACAUCUUAAAGCAUAUUUAAUCAUGGCGUAUGUCUGAUUAAACAAACCUUCCCACUGCUCUUAGGAUAAAGGCAAAACGUGUACUCACAGCCUACAAGGCCCAAAUGAUGUUGGCUCUGCCGACUCCUCUAGUCUUAUUUCUCACCACACUUUCUCUAUCUUUGUUCUCAAGCUGCCUGGCUCUUCCUUUCAGUCCCUUUUCUUUAUCUUGCUCUCUCUCACCACAGGAUAUGUUUUCCUUUAGUGUGGCCAGCAUCUAUCUUCUUUCUUUAUCUGGUUAACAUUUGUCUUUCUUUAAUUUCAACACAGUGCUCUUUUUCUCAUGGGAGCCUUCCUUGAUCUUCCUGACUAGGUCAAAUUCCCUGUACAGACUUUCAUAGCACACAUACUUCUUUUUUGUUUCACUUGCC
rnacentral:lncRNA from 1 species